rnacentral:rRNA from 1 species
AAUCCAUAGGUUAAUGAGGCGAACCGGGGGAACUGAAACAUCUAAGUACCCCGAGGAAAAGAAAUCAACCGAGAUUCCCCCAGUAGCGGCGAGCGAACGGGGAGGAGCCCAGAGCCUGAAUCAGCAUGUGUGUUAGUGGAAGCGUCUGGAAAGGCGCGCGAUACAGGGUGACAGCCCCGUACACAAAAGCGCAUGUGCUGUGAGCUCGAUGAGUAGGGCGGGACACGUGGUAUCCUGUCUGAAUAUGGGGGGACCAUCCUCCAAGGCUAAAUACUCCUGACUGACCGAUAGUGAACCAGUACCGUGAGGGAAAGGCGAAAAGAACCCCGGCGAGGGGAGUGAAAAAGAACCUGAAACCGUGUACGUACAAGCAGUGGGAGCACCCUUCGGGGUGUGACUGCGUACCUUUUGUAUAAUGGGUCAGCGACUUAUAUUCUGUAGCAAGGUUAACCGUAUAGGGGAGCCGUAGGGAAACCGAGUCUUAACCGGGCGUUAAGUUGCAGGGUAUAGACCCGAAACCCGGUGAUCUAGCCAUGGGCAGGUUGAAGGUUGGGUAACACUAACUGGAGGACCGAACCGACUAAUGUUGAAAAAUUAGCGGAUGACCUGUGGCUGGGGGUGAAAGGCCAAUCAAACCGGGAGAUAGCUGGUUCUCCCCGAAAGCUAUUUAGGUAGCGCCUCGUGAAUUCAUCUCCGGGGGUAGAGCACUGUUUCGGCUAGGGGGCCAUCCCGGCUUACCAACCCGAUGCAAACUGCGAAUACCGGAGAAUGUUAUCACGGGAGACACACGGCGGGUGCUAACGUCCGUCGUGAAGAGGGAAACAACCCAGACCGCCAGCUAAGGUCCCAAAGUCAUGGUUAAGUGGGAAACGAUGUGGGAAGGCCCAGACAGCCAGGAUGUUGGCUUAGAAGCAGCCAUCAUUUAAAGAAAGCGUAAUAGCUCACUGGUCGAGUCGGCCUGCGCGGAAGAUGUAACGGGGCUAAACCAUGCACCGAAGCUGCGGCAGCGA